rnacentral:snRNA from 1 species
AUACUUACCUGGCAGGAAAGAUACCAUGAUCACAAAAGUGGUUUUCCCAGUGGCUUAUCCAUUUACGCUCUGGAUGUGCUGACCCCUGUGAUUUCCCCAAAUGUGGGAAAUUUUCCUGUAUUAUUGUGGUAGUGGGGAGUGUAUUCACACUCUCUCCUG